rnacentral:lncRNA from 1 species
GCAGUUGUUUGUUGAAGGUGAAGUAGAGCAAGAUGGCACUUCGUCAGUCACUGCUCUUGCAUUCAACAUGCCUGUUGAAAGCUGAUUACUUGUUGAGCAAGGAGGUACUCUGAUAUGCCUGGGGAUUUCUGGUAGUAAACUAGCUUGUUGGUGUUGAAGUUUCUGACUUUGUUGUGGCAGAUGAGAAAAUCUGACAUCAACUUGGUGGUUGUUGCCCUUGGCAAUCUGUUGCUGAACGAUAUUC